rnacentral:rRNA from 1 species
UACGUAGGGUGCAAGCGUUGUCCGGAAUUAUUGGGCGUAAAGAGCUCGUAGGCGGUCUGUCGCGUCGGAUGUGAAAAUCCAGGGCUCAACCCUGGACCUGCAUUCGAUACGGGCAGACUAGAGUUCGGUAGGGGAGACUGGAAUUCCUGGUGUAGCGGUGAAAUGCGCAGAUAUCAGGAGGAACACCGGUGGCGAAGGCGGGUCUCUGGGCCGAAACUGACGCUGAGGAGCGAAAGCGUGGGUAGCAAACGGG